GUGGAUAAGAGACAGGUGAGUCAUCGAAUCUUUGAACGCACAUUGCGCCCCUUGGUAUUCCUUGGGGCAUGCCUGUUCGAGCGUCAUUUACACCCUCAAGCUCUGCUUGGUGUUGGGCGUCUGUCCCGCCUCGUGCGUGGACUCGCCUCAAAGCGAUUGGCGGCUGGUUUGAUGGCCUGGAGUGCAGCAGGAUUGCGCCCCUUGCCCGGAAGCCGGCUCCCAGAAGCUGAAAACCCCAUAUAUUGACCUCGAAUCAGGUAGGGAUACCCGCUGAACUUAAGCAUAUCAAUAAGCGGAGGA
rnacentral:misc_RNA from 1 species